GCAGAGGUGGCGGAACUAGCAGACGCGCCGGAUUGUCACUCCGGUGGUGUGUAUGCACCGUGCGGGUGCAAAUCCCGUUCUCUGCA
rnacentral:tRNA from 1 species